CCGCGCUAAGACAGAGGUGCAAGCAUUAUCCGAAAUGAUUGGACGUAAAGUGUCUGUAGGUGGCUUUUCAAGUCCGCCGUCAAAUCUCAAGGCUCAACCUUGAACAGACAGUGAAAACUACCAAGCUAGAGUAUGGUAGGGGCAGAGAAAAUUUUCAAUGGAGCAGUGAAAUACGUAGAGAUCGAAAAGAACACCAAUGGCUAAAGCACUCUGCUAGGCCAACACUAACACUGAGAGACGAAAGUUAAAAGUUAGGAGAGUAAAUGGGAUUAGAUACCCCAGUAGUCCUAGCCAUAAAUGAUGGAUACUAGGCACUGUGCAUAUCGACCCAUGCAGUGCUAUAGCUAACGCAUUAAGUAUCCCACCUGGAAAGUACAUUCGCAAGAAUGAAACUCAAAGAAAUUGAUGGAGGCCCACACAAGUAGUAGAGCAUGUGGUUUAAUUCGAUGCAAAGUGAAGAACCUUACCGGGGCUUGACAUGCCAUGAAUCCUCUUGAAAGAGAGGGGUGCCUUCAGGAACACGGACACAGGUGGUGCAUGGCUGUCGUCAGCUCAUGCCGUAAGGUGUUGGGUUAAAUCUCACAACAAGGCAACCUUCGUAUUUAGUUGCCACCGUUGAGUUUGAAACCCUGAACAGACUGUCGGUGAUAAGCCAGAGGAAGGUGAGGAUGACGUCAAGUCAUCAUGCCCUUUAUGCCCUGAGCGACACCCGUGGUACAAUGGCCGAGACAAAGAGUUGCGAUCCUGCGAGGGUGAGCUAACUCCAAAAAUCCAUCCUCAAUUCAGAUUGCAGGCUACAACUCACCUGCAUGAAGCCAGAAUCGCUAAUAAUCAUCGGUCAGCCAUACGGCGGUGAAUUCAUUCUCGAGCCUUGUACACACCCCCCCCGUCACACUAUGGGAGCUGGCCAUGCCCGAAGUCGUUACCUUAACCAUAAAAAGGGGGAUGCUGAAGGCGGGGCUAGUGAUUCGAGUGAAGUCGUAACAAGGUAGCCGUACUGGAAGGUGCAGCUG
rnacentral:rRNA from 1 species